AAGAAGUCAGGCCGGAUUAAGCCAUAGUACGGUAAGAGCUAUGCUGCCUGUGAGCCCCGUCUAAGGACGUAAAAUGAAGUCAGGCCGAAAGCCACGGCUUGAGCAAACCGUGCUGCCUGUAGCUCCAUCGUGGGGAUGUAAAAACCUGGGAGGCUGCAACCCAUGGAAGCUGUACGCAUGGGGUAGCAGACUAGUGGUUAGAGGAGACCCCUCCCGAAACAUAACGCAGCAGCGGGGCCCAACACCAGGGGAAGCUGUACCCUGGUGGUAAGGACUAGAGGUUAGAGGAGACCCCCCGCAUAACAAUAAACAGCAUA
rnacentral:lncRNA from 1 species